GGAAACUGAUGGACGAUAAAUUAUGCAACCUGCUCAGGAUCAUACAGGUAGUAAGGGUAGUCAGGGCUUAGCUCCAGAGCCCAGGGUUUUAGCUAUCAGAAAUUACACACAUGCAGGCAUUGCUGUCAACUCAGAACCAAUAUGGCAUAAUUCCCUGACAAUAUCUAGUUGGCAUUCUAAGAUGUCAGGAUUGUGAGGAUAUUUUCAUUUUGUUUUCCAGAUUUCUUUAAAGUUGUGAAUAGAAAUUUCAUAUAGUUUGAAACAAGUCAAAGAGCUCAGGCCUUGGUUUAGAAAAGGAAAUUGUAUGAGUAUGACAGAUGUUCUGUUGUUGAUAUUUGAACAUUCACAUUUACAGAGAAUCUUUAUUUCCUAAAACUGAUGUUUAUCAGGGUUAGUCAAGACAGUCACAAAUCAAACAGAGGUUGUUUCUGGUUAGCUAAGUUCUAUCCAUAAUAAGAGAGUUCUGAACUGGGAUCCCUGUACACAUGACCAUAUCACUUUUCAGAUCUCAGGUUUUCCAUGUGUAAAACAGAAUUGAAUGAAGUGAUCGCCUGGGUCCAUUUCAAGCUUCAUGUUCUAUUUGUAGACAUUUUUGUUCUAAAGACCUUCAAUAUCACUUUUCUGAGCCAGA
rnacentral:lncRNA from 10 species